CAGGUACUGACAUAGUGAACUGCACCUACACACAGGUACUGACAUAGUGAACUGGACCUCUACACAGGUACUGACAUAGUGAACUGGACCUCUACACAGGUACUGACAUAGUGAACUGGACCUCUACACAGGUACUGACAUAGUGAACUGGACCUCUACACAGGUACUGACAUAGUGAACUGGACCUCUACACAGGUACUGACAUAGUGAACUGGACCUCUACACACAGGUACUGACAUAGUGAACUGGACAUAGGUACUGACAUAGUGAACUGGACACAGGUACUGACAUAGUGAACUCCACCUCUACACAGGUACUGACAUAGUGAACUGGACCUCUACACAGGUACUGACAUAGUGAACUGGACCUCUACACAGGUACUGACAUAGUGAACUGGACCUCUACACAGGUACUGACAUAGUGAACUGGACCUCUACACAGGUACUGACAUAGUGAACUGGACCUCUACAC